UUUCUGAACAGAAUUAAUUUGUCCAGAGCUAAAGCUUUACCCCAGGAACUGUUGUGGCCCCUAGGCUCGUUUUUCUGCCUCUUCACAUACUGAGCCAGCAUUUCCUUCUUCCUGGAGCACAAGCAAAUCACAGAAUAUGACAGAACUACCUGAAAAGUCAUCAGAGCUUACAAUGUCGCCACUCCCCUCAAGAGCUAGGAGUACAUUUUUCUAUAUGCUCUAAAAUGGACACCAUCACCAGAGAGAGAGUGAGAAGCCCGGAGGCCCAGCAGAACCGCAGAGAAACUGUUUUAGGCAAAGCUUGCAUUUG